rnacentral:lncRNA from 1 species
GAUGACAGUUUCAUUGUGCUUGUCCUUCUUUUUCCUUACUUUCCUUGUUAUUGGAUGUUCUUUUGCUAUCAUUAUGUUCUUAUAAUAAUAAUAUAUUCUUACACAUACUCCUUUUCUUUUCUGCAUACUUUUUUUAUUGUUAGUUUGUACUAAUUUAAUUCAAGUGUGUCCUUGAACAAGUCCCUAUCUUGGUGGUAGAGAUUUCAAACGGUAUAAAAAAGCUUUUCAGCACUGUCCAAUUUAAAAUAAUUAGAUAGAUAUUGAUUAAGCAUAUAAUAUAUAUCAACAACCAAACAGGGGAGGACACUUUGUUACUUCUCUGACCCAC